rnacentral:lncRNA from 1 species
AGCUCCUAACGCCGCAGGUUCCUCCUGGUCCCCGAGGCCCCCGGUCGGGCGUUGCCUGCCCCGCGCGGGCGGCCGGGCCGAGGGACGAUGGUCAGUGGACGGACGGCGCCAGGGAGCAGUGCCCACGCGCGGCAGGGCGGUACCUUCAGGCCUCCAGGACUGGCUCUCCUGACCUCUCCAGGUGUCAUCGAACACCCUUGUGCUUGCUGUCACCCGCUGCCUGUCUGCAGGAUCCCGGAUUCCGUAUCAGGGGACCGAAAUUAGUCGGAAAAUAGGAAGCAGGUGCUCGCUUGGAUGGAACCCUGACCCUGUGCUCACACUUGUAGGAGGAGGGCUCUGCAGGCCGCCUCCCGGAACGGGAGGUUCCCAAGCCACUGCACUUCGGAGGGGCUGUAAUUAGAGUUGCACAUUCAUUCAGUUCCCAGUAAAGUAGAACGUGCUCCAGCCAGUGAGGAAAAGGUGUUUUUAAAAAUUAGAUUGGCCGAGUGCGGUGGCUCAUGCCUUUUACCUCAACACUUUGGGAGACAAAGGUGGGAGGAUCACCUGUGGCCAGGAGUUCAAGACCAGCCUGGGCAACAGAGCCUGUCUCUGGGGAAGAAUAAAAAAAAAAAUUGAGCCUUUGUCAGUGCUACUAUUUUAUUAUCUGGUAAAUAUGAGAGGGUUCACGCGGUCUAUGUGUGUCAUUUAUCUGAGUUUGCCUAUCGUCACGUUUUGGAAAUAAAUGUCAAUAAA